rnacentral:lncRNA from 1 species
GCAGAGAAAAAGAAAGGGGUUGAAAUCAAAGGGAUUUCUGCUGUAACGCUGGCUCCACCUGUGACUAGCUCUGUCGCUUCAGAGCAAUUAAUUUCUGAGCCUCAAUUGCCUCAUCAGUAAAAUGGGACAAGUAUCUCAAGUUCCUGUCACAUAUGAUUAGUAUUCUACAAAUUGUAGCUCUAAUUAUUAUAUAGAUACUUUACAGGUAAAGCAGACCCAGAGAUGCUCACAUGCUCACAGGUAGCUUGGAAUGAACUUGUAGUUAAUAGUUACAAAUGCUUGUUAUGUGCCAGGCACUAUUCUAAGUGUUACACACCUAAUCCUCACAUUGGCACUAAGAAGUAGGUAAUAUAACUAUCAUUCUUAUGUUAAGUAUGAGAAAACUGGAGCACCAAGAGGUUACUAAAUAUCCUGAAUUCACAUGGGUUGCAGCACAGAGCCAAAAUUUCAAAGGGAGCAGGCCACCUUUAGGUACCACGUGUUACCUCUUGUGUAUUACCUAUCCCAAAAAUGAGAAGAUAAACCAGGAGCAGUGGCACACCCCUAUAUAUAUUC